AACCCUAGGUCGUCUCUAAAAUAGAAGAUCAAAGAUCUAAGCUAAAAUUUCUCAAUAUCUUUCUCUUAUUUCAUACCAGUAACUGAAGCCUCGAACAAGAUCAAUGCUCUAUUGAAAACAUCAUGGUCAGAGAGAAACUGAGGUCGUCGAUUUUAUCGCUGCAGAAUUGAUGAAGAGAAAGGUGGAUGCAAAUUUUUUAUGUGGUAUGAACCUCAAUUUCCAGUUCAAGCUACAAGGGUGAUAAGGGGGUUGUUGAAGAAGGUCAAAAAGAAUGAUGCAACUGAACUUAAUGCUAAAAGGUGGAAAAAAUAUUGCUUGGUGUUAGUUAUGAUAUUUAUAUUGUGGGUUUGGAAUGGUAUUACUGGUUGAUCGUAUUAGUAACAACACACUGUAUUUAUUAUGCUCGUCCGCCUUAUUUUGCUGAAGAAGAAGUACAAAAGAACAAGCAUGAACUUUGUAAUAGUACUAAAACUAUCUCUACUGAUGUUUGCACUUACCUAGCAAGUAUGGGCAGUAGUAAUGCCCUAAAGAUUAUGUCCUCCUCUUGUAAUUUGUUUUAAGAAAUAUAAGUAUCGUACUUUUAUGUUAAAAAAACACAUUGUAUUAGGUAUCACUGGUUGUAAUUGGGACAUAAAUUGUACCCAAAUUUUGGACUAUGUAUUCAAUCAAUGAUAAUGGUAU